CCAGUCUCCUCAGUGUGAUGUCUACAAAGCCUGUGACAGUCCUCUCCUCAUUCUGCACACACACUGGCUGUGACCACCGCUCUCUCCAUGACGUGUCCUCCUGGGGGACGCGCUACUAUCCCGUCACUCCUCACUUCCCUAACCAGACUGCUGUCAGCCAGAUGGUGAUCACCAGCGCAGACCAUGACACACCAGUGAACAUGCUUCUCUCCGGGGAUACUCUCUUUAAUGGCAAUAUGUACCCCAGUGGUAGUGUCCUUAAGUUGAACAUGGGGGCGCUGCAGAGCGUUUACAUCGAGAGUAACACCGGCCUUUCUUGCUCGGAGUUAAAUUCCCAAGGAGCUGUAGGUGUUGUGGUCGGUUUAACCUGGUCCAAACUCACACCUGGUUAUUGUUGGUGUGGCUUUGCUGAGCUGAACCCGUCUCUCAGUGGAGUUUGGAUUACAUUUUCCUUCCCGGUUGUAAACACAGGAACUCGUUCUAGUUUCCUCUUGGCAAUAGCUCCUAUUCUCCUACUCUGAUCUGAACGUCACCAGCAGCACAGGAUAAAAUAAUGUCUCUUGUGGGUGGCGUUAUGAAGAUCAUCCUAGUUGGGACCUCAGAUCAAAUCCACAUUGCUAGUGACAAUGCUCUUCAGCCUAUUUACGUCAUUCAUGACACUGGACAGAGGUUUUCAACUCUUACUGUGCUGCCUUCUGCGGAGGUUAUCUGCCACUCAGAACCUUUAUUUGAUUCCAGUGACGUGACUCUGGGGGAAGGUAACAAUGCUCACUAAGGAGAGUUUUAGUCUGCUGUUAAAUUCUCCCAGAAUGCCCACUUCACUCAUCAGUCUGAUAAUGCACCGCUCAGUCCUCCUCAAGCAGACAUAACACAGAAGUGGGACGUUAUCUGAGCGCCUGUCUCUUCAUCCAGGCUAUAGACCUAUACACUAACCUAUAGAUGCUAUAGGUAAGUGUUCCAACAGUCUAACACAGUGAUCAAAUGUUCCGGCAGUUAAUGGUACAAAGUGGCUCAAUAGGAACACUUACCUGUAGAUGAGACCGUCGCUUUCUUUUUUUCCAUUUCAGUUGCAGCAUCUUGUGAAGAGGUGCACUGUGGUCACAAACAGACGUGCUUUAUCAAAGAUGGUGAGCCAUUCUGUUCUCCUUUGACACCUAAAAUAGCCUUUGCAUGGGGUGACUCUUACUACUGCAUGUUUGAUGGUAGAGAUCUUGUCCUGAGAGGAAACUGUAACUACACGUUAGUUCAGACUACAUGUGAAGGCUCAGCUGUUCCACUGCAGAUCAACAUUGCCAGAGCACUUUUGAACAGCGCCACUGUCUGUUCCAUUCACACAGUGGAGAGAAGCAGUGAGGGCUUUAAAAUCUCCAUAGAUAAAGGAGACAGAAAUAUGGCUCUUGAUCAGGUAGAGUAUUUCUGUGGAGGGUUACUGGUUUCAGAGAGAGUAAGUAACAUUUUGAAAUCCAAUGUUUUCCUAAUAUUAAAUGUGUACUAAGUUGGAAAAAUACAAUUAUUCUUUUCUUUCUCCUCAAAUCUCACCUGAUCACCUAAUAUUGAUUAUCAACUGUGCUCCAGUCACAUCUCUGACUGUGUGGGAAACCCAAGUCCUCUAGCAGUGUCCUGCAAAGAGGGCUGUUUCUGCAGACCAGGGUUUUUCCAUAGUGGUGGCAAAUGUGUACCCGACUCUGAGUGUGGCUGCAUUUACAAGGGAAUCUACCAUGAAAUUCAUGAGAACUUCCUCCCUGAUGAGCGCUGUCAGCUGCACUGUGUCUGUGUGGGCCACAACACAGUACAGUGCACCAAUCACACGUGUCCAAAUGGAACACAAUGUGGCAUCCAAGAGGGUCACAGGGCAUGUCAAGCAUCACAGCCUGUUAAACGCACAGUCAGGGGUGGAAGACACUUCAGAAACUACGAUGGACAAAACUUUGACUUUAAUAUGGGAAACUGCAGACAUGUUCUCUCCCAGGUUUGUGAUGAGGAAGGAUCUGAACGUGUUGUUGCUCUUCAGAAAGGAGAGCUGCACCUGAGGUCCAUGGAGUGAACGGAUCAUUGGAGAUGGAGCAUUAAGACAAAGUAAAAGUAAUGAAUUGCACAAUUUAAACACAUCUUCUCUCUGGGACUUGUUUGUGACUAAACUUUCAGGUCGAGGGUGCUCUGGAGUCUUCCUGUCCAACUGGAUCAUGUGAAAAUACUCCAUUCUUACUUGCUGACUCGAGUUGUUGUCUACACUGGGGACGUUGUCAAUUAUGGAGGCCCUCACCUGAUACAAGUAGUAUGUCCUGCCUCUCGUAGAAGAAUGUGUGGUUUGUGUAGGAACAUCAUUGCUGUUGCUACAGAAUAGAAACGGAGUCCCUGUUUGCCUCUUCCUGGUCACUUUCCCCUCAUGGAACUAACUGCUCCGAAGAAUGUAAUCUCUCUUCAGCAUGCAACUGUACCAGGGCAGCUGUAUUUGCAUCUGAUAACAUCUGUGGUACGCUGCUUGCUCCUGCAGGCUCAUUUGGUCGAUGCCACUCUGCUGUGGACCCAGAGCCCUUCUUUCAAAACUGUGUGAAUGACUUGUGUAUUUCUAAUGGGAAAGAAGAAUUGUUUUGCAGGAGUCUGAGCGAAUACACCUUUGCAUGCCAAGUGGCAGGAGCUGAAGUCAAACCAUGGAGGAGUGAGAAGUGCUCACUCUCAUGACCUGAAACCUCUCACUACAGUAUAUGUGUCUGUGCAUGCCCUGAGUCCUGUGGUAUUUCAUCUGAUAUCCACUGUCCGUGCCCCUGUUAUGAGGGAUGUCAGUGUGAGUCUGAAUACAUGCAGAAUGGAAAUGGCUGUAUCAAACCUGAGCAAUGUGGCUGUUACUAUCAUGGGCACGACUAUGCGAUUGGGGAGAUAUUAUGGACUGAGGGAUGCUCCGAGAAGUGUAUCUGCUCUGCCAAUUCGACCGUGCGCCGUGAGCCAGCCUCCUGCCCCGAGGGAGAGAGCUGCACCCUGAACAAUACCUGGGAUUGUGCAAGGAAAGGUAGGCCCAGCUGGUUCUGCUGGGUUGGGUGACUUUUCCUCGCAGGCUAACUGAGUGGCACCAUGCAACACUCACAAGUUACAUAUUAUGAAAUAUUACGUGACUCUGAUUUACUGUAAGGGCGGGUUUUUUUGCACCUCAUACACACCACAAAUGGGUAAUUUCUUGCACUGUCCUGUCAUCUUGUACCUGUCUGCCUGGAGGCCCUGAGAAUGAUUGCACCUCUUGUCAGUCAAAAAUGAUGAUACAGCUACUUUUAUUUUUUCAACUUCAGUUAUUUACAGCAACAGUUUUAUAUGUGAUUAUUGUCUACAGACGUUUCCAGCUCAUUUGUGCUCUGCCUAAACUGACAGUAAUAUACUUAUUUCACUCCUAUUUGUUUCAGCUAAUGAUUAUAAAAUCUGUGAGACUGGACAGACUUAUGCUUACCAGAGCCAACCUUAGCAAGCUCCGUGUUGGGUGCAUGAAGGCACCCACUUCUACACUUUUGAUGGGAAGGCAUUUGAAUUCCAAGGAAACUGUAUCUAAACCCUAGUCCUUACGCUGAAUGACACCAGACAGAAUAACUAACUAACGGCUCCUCUCUUACAGAUAUUCAUGCCAACGUGGGUCAAGACAAUAUAAUUAUCUACAGAGGGUAAAGAAAGGCUAUGUUUGGAUAAAUGGUGAGAAAAAGGCGACUUCCUGUGACUCCACAGAUUGGACAGGCAUGUUUGUUGUCGUGGAUACCAAUUGGGAAUCCAGAUUAAGUAUGACAGGUCUCAUAUUGCCACCAUCCUUUCUAGUGAAACUGAGGUAUGGGGCCUGUGUGGGACUAACAAUGGCAUCAAGGAAGAUGACCUCAGGACCCCACAGGGUGAGGUAGUUGAUGCUACCGCCUUAGGCUGGAGUUGGAGAGUUCCUGAUCAGGACACUCUGGGUGAAGCAGAUUACGGACUUCAUGCCCGGGUUGCUCUGCUGACCAGCCUCAUAUGGAAAAUGUUACCUGUCAGUGAAUCUCUCUGCACGAGUACAUUCGGUCACCACAGAGUUCUUUCUACAUGUGCUUGGAAGUUGUAAACUACACUAACAUCUCCAAAGCAAAGUUGGCAGAGUUUAAUUUUGAAAGUGUGUUACACUUUGCUGACUUUCAAAUGCAAUUUUAGCACCCCCUACAGGUUGAUGGUGUCAAGAGGAACGUCCCAUAUCAUUUUAACUCGACUGUGCUGGUUUACUGUCUUGGGCUGCACACUUACAUCUACACAGGCUUUGAAUUUAGGCUCAGUAUAGAGGGAAUAGUCUCUCCCAUAAAUUUGUGAAUGCAAGUUGUGGACUGUGUGGUCCACAGCCAACGACCUCCCAGCAAAUGACACGCAGGAGCAUUGUGGUAAAGCUUGGCUAAGUGAGCAGAAUCCAUGGUGUGUGGAGGGCUGUCUAGGAGGAAGUUGUCCGAAUUGUUCAUCUGAGCGUUUGGCCCGCUUCUCUGAACCGGACGUCAGCAGGAAAAUUCUGCAGGUUAAUGGACCCUUCAGACACUGUCAUGCCAAAGUGGACCCCACCAGCUUUUACAAGCGCUGCGUCAGUGACUUGUGUCUUCAUGGAGGUCUCCAGUCUGCACUGUGUCACUCCCUGGCAGAGUAUACGGCUCUCUGUCUUUCCCACAAGGCUAGGGUUUACACCUGGAGGAGCCCUGGACUCUGCUUCCAGUCCUGUCCCUCCGGUACCAGUUACAACACAGGCUCUGCCUCUGUUCACCUCUGCCUCGGCUGGAAGAAUAACACUGUAGAGAUGCCUACCAACACUGGGGAGAACUGUCUCUGUAAUACAGGGUUAGUUCACAGUGGCAGCCUGUGUGUCUACCCAGAAAACUGUGGCUGCAUUCAGAAUGGAGAGAACCUCAGGACAAGAGGAUUCAUGUCACUCCACUCUAGGGCACAUAAGCUCUCUGAAGAACCUGGAUGUUGAGCCUCUUGUUAUCACUGCACAUGGCAACCACAAUCUGCAAGUCAAUACAAUGUAUUCUGAGGCCUCAACAGGUUUUCCUGGACAAAUUCAGGUAAUUUGUGGAAUCAUUUAAAUUUGACUCACUUUUUAUCAUCAAUAACACUGUAUUUUUUCCAGUGUAUUGUUUGUUGUUUAAAACGCUAUCUCCCAGGUAAACUAAGUGUAUGAGAAUCUGCCAUUCACCCAGAACAAUGUCACUGUAUGUCGGAGGAAUGGUUGGAUCAUCAUCCAGACCCCACAGUCAGUCAAGCUUAUUUCAGACCUACGAGGCCACAUUCAGCUGCCAAAUGGAACUGUGAUCUCCGAGGUUGACAUUUUUGGGCCAUCUUGGAAGUUGUCUAAUGAAUCCUCCUGCAGCGACACAUGUAACAGGAGCUGUCAACUCUGCCCGACCCCUAUGUCAGAGUAUAGCUCUGACCUGUACUGUGGCCUCCUCACCCAACCAAGGGGACCAGUAUCCUCUUGUCACCAUUUAGUGGAUCCACAGAAUUACUACUCACUCUUCAUGAAGAUACUUUGUCUUGCAAAGGUGCCACUCAGGGCCCUGUGUGAGACACUGUGGGUUUAUGAUGCAGCAUGUAAGGAAGCAGGAGGGAUGACUGACCUCUGGAAAAACACUACAGGCUGUGCGUAUCAAUGUCCUCAGUUCAGCCACUACAGCCAAUGUGCCAAUGUUUGCUCCUCAUUGUGCCCUGACAUUAGCAUGGCCGUGCAGUACCCAAUGAGACUGUGAGGAAGGUUGCAUGUGUGACACUCAUCACUUUUUGGAUGGCCAUGCCUGUGUACCAGCUGAACAGUGUGGCCGUGUCCAGAACGGAACAAGGUUUAAGGGCCUCUGAGAGCAAACUUCUCCAAAACUGCAGUUAACUGCACCUGCGGGCCUCCUGUCAUCUGUGAGAAAUACUCCUGUCCUCCACUGCACAGUUGUACACUUCUAGAUGGAAUCAUGGGAUGCCACAAGAAUGCGCAGAUCCCAGAUCCCUGUGAGGGAGAAUGUGAUGAAACUGAGAAAAGCUACCUGAGCGAGGGCUUGCCUGCGAGUACGAGCCGUCACGGUCUGUGUUGGUCCUGGGGAGGGCAGCACUACCACACCUUCGAUAGGCUCAGCUAUGACUUCGAGGGCACCUGCACAUGUGUUCACAGCCAGCAAAUGGUCAGCAGAUGUGCACUGUCCUCCAAACAGCCUCUACAGGACCUGUGGCUCAGCAUGUCCUCCACCCUGUGAAUUGAAUGCCACUGUCUGUCAUGAGGCCUGUGUUCAGGGCUGCUUCUGUGACCCUGGCUUCCUCAGGAGUCCACAGGGCUGUAUGCGUCCACAGACUCUAGAGGCAAAUACUGCAGCCUCAACUCAACUUUCUGGAUUCCAGACAACUGCGGAGCAGCCACUGGAGAGGUCCACUGUCGCCCGGCCCAGUGCCCAGGAGGAAUGGUCUUCAAGCAGCUUCAUCACAGGAGGGUGUGUCAACUGGAAAACCCCCAGAACUGAACCAUUGUUACCGGGCUACAUUUUACAGCCUUUGAUGGACAUAAAUUUGACUUCAGAAACGUUUUUGAAUACUUAUUAGUUCAAUAUAGCUCCAACCCGACUGUACCAACACCAUUCAGUAUCAAGAUCUCUGAUGCAAGUUGCCACAACAGGCUUUUUUCCUAGCCAAACUUUAACUCUCUUAAUCUAUGGUUUGGCAGUUGCAUUACAUUACACUACAUGUCAUUUAGCUGACGCUUUUGUCCAAAGCGACUUACAUUUUUUGUACACUCAACAUUUAUGAGGGGCCAUUUAGAGGUUCAGUAUCUUGCCAAGUACACUUCGGCAUGCAGAUGGGGAAGCGUGGGUAUUGAACCGGCAACCUUCAUGUUGGAGAAUGCCCACACGACCCCCUUGGCCACACCGCCCCCCCAGUUGUGGUAAGAAGACGACCCAGCAAAGGUUUUGGUGAGUAUACUGCAAGGUUUUAUUAAGUCUUUAAAAUACCCUACACUGGAGGAGUGACACUUUCUGUGGUGAAUACAAAUAACUUUUUUAUUGGUUAUCACAGCAAACACCUGAUUUAAUGUUUCUCUGUCUGGGUUCAGAGCACUAUCACUGUGAAAAGUACACAAGGGCAGACUUAUUCAUUGCUGAUUAGUCAGGCUUUUAUGAGGACCAUGCACGACAGCAAACAUUGAACUUGCUGCAAAGGGAAAUGCAUAUAUGUCAUAUAAUUAUACAUUUAUACCAUAAGAGUCAGUGGGAUUGACAGUUAAACAGCAUGGGUGGGUGUAUAGAGAACAAUUCCGUAGGAUCGAAUUACAUUGAUUUUGUUUUGUUAAAAUAAAAAUUGUAUUUUCUA